UAACAAACACUAUUAAAACUCAAGACUGC
rnacentral:sRNA from 1 species